CUCAACCGUGAUGGAUCUUCCGGCUCCUGCAGCCAGUAUUUUAGGUUAUUAUAAUUGCGCGUGAUUGAUCCGGUUAUUUCAGCGAUAGCAGCCAAGCUUAUGCGCUUUUUGCUGGAGACGAAAUCGUCAGAUAACAACAUCAACUGCCGUCAAUAUGUACGAACUGACAGCGGUUGGGGUUGGAACCUUGAGGUUGGACCUGAGUUUCGCAGCCAACGGCAUUAGUAACCGAGACAAAUAAAGGGAAGAACCACUAUGGAGCGGCAGCUCGUUCAGUGAGCCCUUUGCGCGACUUCCGAAGGGACAAGUAACCAGAUUGAUUUUGUCUACUGGGUAAUUGUACUCAUCUUGCUCGAUCAUCUUCACUGGUACUAAGGAUAGAACAGGAAAUUUUGAUGUGAUACCUACGUAAAGGUAAGCCACGGACUCAGCGACGCUUCCAUAAGUAUUACGGAGUUGGAUUGCAGAACAGGUAUUGUCUAGAAUUCGCCACAAACAGACAAUGCGACCACAAAAUGAAUAUGGUUUUAUGCGGUUGUUUGGUUAGUCUCCGAGCACGCGAAUAUUCAGAGCAAACCUAUAUUUGGGUGACGCCAGAUUGCGCUGGAUGAUCAUGCUAUCAAAGCACGACGAAUACGCAUGGAAACAACAUGUCAAUUAUAAAUAGUUUAACCGCUGAUGAGCAAUCAGGUGAUAUGUUCGAUUAGCACGACAUGCAGUUCUGGUUAUUUUCCGUCGGCCUUUUUCCGCUACGAGGCCAAGCACCGACACCAGAGAGGUAACGACUCCCACUAUCUGGACUAGAUAUCCACCCAUCAACUCAUGGACCCAUUCGUUUUCGAGCUCUCCAUCGAGACAGAGGUUGUUUUUUCUAGUCCGUAGUGCUGUGUGAGUCGAUAAAGAAUAGUGUUAAUCCGCAUUCAAGGUUAUUUUGCCAGUUCGGUUCGGUCCUCAGUCUUUUGUUCGCGUGUGAGGAUUAAACAAUAGCCAGCUAUAUAAGCUGGAUCGGUUCGUCGUUGGACACCAGUUUAAAGCUAAGUGGUUUUUGUCUUUUGUAACACAUUUAUUGCUUUCUUCCGUCUGCGCGGGCGCUGACCCCGUGCGUUGACGUUUUCUAUGGUUCCCUCUCCGGAUGGUCAAAUGGAAGUUGAAUCGGGUUCAACUUGUAAGGCUCCCCCCGGCCCAAAUGCUAUCCAGAACUCUCAACUGGUCCAUUUGUGGUCUUCUUUCGGCCCAAGACUAAAUCACUGAAUCUUCUUCAGAUUUCUAGAGACCUGACGGAACGGUUCUCGGCUGUGACCGAAAUUUCAAAGGUCCGCUCGGACAAGAUAAGGGUGUU